GACGAACGCUGGCGGCGUGCCUAAUACAUGCAAGUAGAACGCUGACUACUUUAGCUUGCUAGAGUAGAAGGAGUUGCGAACGGGUGAGUAACGCGUAGGUAACCUGCCUACUAGCGGGGGAUAACUAUUGGAAACGAUAGCUAAUACCGCAUAACAGUGUUUAACACAUGUUAGAUGCUUGAAAGAUGCAAUUGCAUCACUAGUAGAUGGACCUGCGUUGUAUUAGCUAGUUGGUGGGGUAACGGCCCACCAAGGCGACGAUACAUAGCCGACCUGCGAGGGUGAUCGGCCACACUGGGACUGAGACACGGCCCAGACUCCUACUGGAGGCAGCAGUAGGGAAGCUUCGGCAAUGGGGUCAACCCUUACCGAGCAACGCCGCGUGAGUGAAGAAGGUUUUCGGAUCGUAAAGCUCUGUUGUAAGAGAAGAACGUGUGUGAGAGUGGAAAGUUCACACAGUGACGGUAACUUACCAGAAAGGAACGGCUAACUACGUGCCAGCCGCCGCAGUAA
rnacentral:rRNA from 1 species